CCGACUGCUAUUUGGGUGAGAAUAAGCCAUGCGAGUUGAAUGGGAUACCUAAAGUUCCCAUAGCAAACUGCUCAGUAACACAUGAUCAACUUACCCUAUAGAGAAAAAUAACCUCGGGAAACUGAGGAUAAUGUUUCAUAAUUGAAUUGGCUUGGAAAAGUUUUUCAAUGAAAAGGAUAAAAAAAAUGGUUUUUAUCCGCUAUAGGAUAGGAUCGUGUUCGAUUAUGGUUGUUGGUGAGAUAAUGGCUCACCAAGCCGAUAAUCGAUAGGGGCCGUGAGAGCGGGAGCCCCGAGAUGGGUACUGAGACAACGACCCAGGCCUUACGAGGCGCAGCAGGCGCGAAACCUCCGCAAUACACGAAAGUGUGACGGGGUUACCCAAAGUGUUCAAUUUGAACUGUGGUAGGUGAGUAAUGUCCCCUACUAGAAAGGAGAGGGCAAGGCUGGUGCCAGCCGCCGCGGUAAAACCAGCUCUUCAAGUGGUCGGGAUAAUUAUUGGGCUUAAAGUGUCCGUAGCCGGUUUAGUAAGUUCCUGGUAAAAUCGGGUAGCUUAACUAUCUGCAUGCUAGGAAUACUGCUAUACUAGAGGGCGGGAGAGGUCUGAGGUACUACAGGGGUAGGGGUGAAAUCUUAUAAUCCUUGUAGGACCACCAGUGGCGAAGGCGUCAGACUGGAACGCGCCUGACGGUGAGGGACGAAAGCCAGGGGAGCGAACCGGAUUAGAUACCCGGGUAGUCCUGGCCGUAAACGAUGCAUACUAGGUGAUGGUACGACCAUGAGCCGUAUCAGUGCCGUAGGGAAACCGUUAAGUGUGCCGCCUGGGAAGUACGGUCGCAAGGCUAAAACUUAAAGGAAUUGGCGGGGGAGCACUACAACGGGUGGAGCCUGCGGUUU
rnacentral:rRNA from 1 species